rnacentral:rRNA from 1 species
GACUGACUUUAUUUAUGUUAAUCUUUUUUUAUGGGUUUAGGGGUUGUUUUAAUGAAGAGUAAAAAUUGCGGUUUUAUGUUAUUUUUAUUAGAUACGAAUUAUAACUUGUGUUUAUGACUCAUUUAUAUACGGGAAUUAGAUACUCCCUUAUAGGAGUUGUAAAUUUUUAUUUUCUCAGUUUUAACUGAAAAAAAUUGGCAGCUGGUAAUAUUCUUCGGGGGGAUUGUGUUGUUUAAACAGAUGGUCCACUAAAUAAUUUUCUUUUUUUAGUGUUGGUGUAUAUCCGGUUUAUUAUAGAAAGCUAGAGUUUUUUAUGUUAAUUUAUUUUUUAAUCCAGGUCAAUAUGCUGCUUAUAGAGGAGGAUAUUAUGCAAUACAUUGUAAGAGUUUUUUUGUAAAAGAGUUAAUUUUAGGACUCCGUAGUAAUAAAAAAUUAAAAUGUUUUUGUGAAUUAGAUUUUAUUAGGGUACACAUCGCCCGUCAAUUUCGAUAUUUAGUU